UCCUUGGAAAAAAAUUAUAGAAAAAUGUUCCAUUUCUGAAACGGGAAUUAUCUACUUUUUUUUUUUUGCAAAAAGGUGCAAGCAAAUACCGAAGAGAUGUCAGUUUCCUUGCGCAUGACUAUGAAUAAAGUAGAAGCAAUGUGCGUAUUGAGCUUAAACAUGUGGAAAAGAACGAAGUUUCCCUGUUGGAACUGUAAAGGAAACUAAUCUCCGGCAUCGGUCGAGGUAUUUUAAGUGGCUCCGGGUGCGCAGGCAGGUCAAAAUAAACAAGGCCGCACUCAGAGAGCCACACGGCCGCAGAGGGGGCGGCGGCACACUGGAGGUCGGUCGGUGGCCGUUUUAGUCAAAGCAAGGGAUUUAUUUCGGAAUGAAGGGGAAAGAAAGGAGAAAAGCAAAGAAUAUCCUACGCUGACGUGAAUGAGUGAAGAAAAUGUUUUAUUAAGAGAAGCAGCGCACCUUCCCACAAGAGAGGAAGUAGGAAACUGUAUACAGUCAAAAAUAACAACAGGAGAAGUUGACAUUCAAACUCCGGACUAAUGGCGAACCCGCCGCAGAAAACGCUGGAAGCGGGGAUCACUUUUUUCUUUGUUGCCACAACGACAUUUCUUUUGCCAGGAGGGACAACGCCCAACGUGUAUCCUCGUUUUAAGACUUAAAACUAUUCAAGAACAUACACCUCGAAAGUGGAGGGGAGUUGUGAAAGUUUAAAAGCCGGUUUAUUCCGUUUAAAAAGAGGAGACUUUCACAUCGCUAGACGGGUUUUUCGGGCGGCCUUUCCGUCUGAAUAAGUGACAUUGGCCCGCACAUCAAAAUGGAUGCCAGAUCGCGAUUGACAUCAAAAACUCCUUAUAUGGAAGGAAACUUCCCAAAUUCCUGAAUGGUGGGAGUGAUCCGCCGGACUCCUCCCUGCAUACCAGACACUCAGCGGACGAGACCAAUUGUCGCAGUCUUUUGACUCACUGUCGAACAGAAGAAGAAAAAAUAAGUAGUUUAUAAGCUACUGGGCUGACGUAAUGUCGGUGAUAUGAGGUUGAAGAUAAUAGAUCCAGCUUGCAGCUUAAACAGCUUCACACGCCAGGGCUGUUUUUAGAACGGCUCUAUAAUGUCUGAAUCGAAACAGUUCCUUGUGCAGUAUUGCUUCCUUCUUUGCAUACCAAUGCCAGUGCGUAAUUUACCUGGACUGAACGUUGGUCUCACAGAGAACUGAGAGUCUGGUCUGCAACAUCGAGCUGUUUUUGUAAUCAAUGCCAGAUUGUUCAAAGAGAAAACAGUAUGAAAAUCACUUCAUUGAAGGAGUUUCAUCAACACAUAUUUUUUCUCAAAGGAGGCCCACACACUGAACCACAUUCCAGGUUGUUUUCGCAGACGAGGCGUAAUCUAGUUAUGGACCAUUGGACCUUUGGUGUAAAGACACAGCCAUUCACAUUGGCUCACAAACUUGCAGCUGGUUACCUUAGAAAUGACCUUCGUUCCAGCUACUCUGGUUCGACGGUCCGCGUACUUUUCUGAGACCUGAAUUAAUUAAAGCAAAGCAUGUUGGAGA